rnacentral:rRNA from 1 species
UACAGAGGGGGCAAGCGUUGUUCGGAAUUACUGGGCGUAAAGGGCGCGUAGGCGGCCUUCUAAGUCGAACGUGAAAUCCCCGGGCUCAACCCGGGAACUGCGUCCGAUACUGGGAGGCUUGAAUCCGGGAGAGGGAUGUGGAAUUCCAGGUGUAGCGGUGAAAUGCGUAGAUAUCAGAAGGAACAUCAGUGGCGAAAGCGGCUUCCUGGUCCAGUACCGACGUUCAGGCACGAAAGCGUGGGGAGCAAACAGG